CCUACGGGAGGCAGCAGUGGGGAAUAUUGCACAAUGGGCGCAAGCCUGAUGCAGCCAUGCCGCGUGUGUGAAGAAGGCCUUCGGGUUGUAAAGCACUUUCAGCGGGGAGGAAGGCGGUGAGGUUAAUAACCUCAUCGAUUGACGUUACCCGCAGAAGAAGCACCGGCUAACUCCGUGCCAGCAGCCGCGGUAAUACGGAGGGUGCAAGCGUUAAUCGGAAUUACUGGGCGUAAAGCGCACGCAGGCGGUCUGUCAAGUCGGAUGUGAAAUCCCCGGGCUCAACCUGGGAACUGCAUUCGAAACUGGCAGGCUAGAGUCUUGGAGAGGGGGGUAGAAUUCCAGGUGUAGCGGUGAAAUGCGUAGAGAUCUGGAGGAAUACCGGUGGCGAAGGCGGCCCCCUGGACAAAGACUGACGCUCAGGUGCGAAAGCGUGGGGAGCAAACAGGAUUAGAUACCCUAGUAGUC
rnacentral:rRNA from 1 species